rnacentral:rRNA from 1 species
UACGUAGGGGGCAAGCGUUGUCCGGAUUUAUUGGGCGUAAAGCGCACGCAGGCGGUCUGAUACGUUUCCAGUGACAGUGCUCGGCUUAACUGAGCAAGGUCUGGGAAAACGGUCAGACUUGAGGACCAGAGAGGGACAUAGAAUUCCGGGUGGAGUGGUGGAAAUGCGUAGAUGUCCGGAGGAAUACCAAAGGCGAAGGCAGUGUCCUGGCUGGUAACUGACGCUC